AGCAGCCGCGGUAAUUCCAGCUCCAAUAGCGUAUAUUAAAGUUGUUGCAGUUAAAAAGCUCGUAGUUGAAUUUCGGGGUUAGUAGGUUGGUCAUGCCUCUGGUAUGUACUGGUCUCACUGAUUCCUCCUUCCUUAUGAACCGUAAUGCCAUUAAUUUGGUGUUGCGGGAAAUUUGGACUGUUACUUUGAAAAAUUAGAGUGUUUAAAGCAAGCUAACGCUUGAAUACAUUAGCAUGGAAUAAUGAAAUAGGACGUUCGAUCUUAUUUUGUUGGUUUCUAGGAUUGACGUAAUGAUUAAUAGGGAUAGUUGGGGGCAUUAGUAUUCAAUUGUCAGAGGUGAAAUUCUUGGAUUUAUUGAAGACUAACUACUGCGAAAGCAUUUGCCAAGGAUGUUUUCAUUAAUCAAGAACGAAAGUUAGGGGAUCGAAGACGAUCAGAUACCGUCGUAGUCUUAA
rnacentral:rRNA from 1 species